rnacentral:rRNA from 1 species
UGCCAGCCGCCGCGGUAAUACGGAGGGUGCGAGCGUUAAUCGGAAUUACUGGGCGUAAAGCGUACGUAGGCGGACUAGUCAAUCAGAGGUGAAAUCCCAGGGCUCAACCCUGGAACUGCCUUUGAUACUGCUAGUCUUGAGUUCGAGAGAGGUGAGUGGAAUUCCGAGUGUAGAGGUGAAAUUCGUAGAUAUUCGGAGGAACACCAGUGGCGAAGGCGGCUCACUGGCUCGAUACUGACGCUGAGGUGCGAAAGCGUGGGGAGCAAACAGGAUUAGAUA